AUCACUCCAGCUUUUUGUUUGUUUGUUUUUUGUUUUGGUCCUGGGAAUUGAGCCCAUGGGCCAUGAGUGCUUUUUAAGGGCUCAGCCACUGAGCAAUAUAUUGGUUUCAGUCAUUGCAAUUUUAGAUAAUAAACACAAGUUAUUACUGAGAGAUAGUUCUAGCUAAAAUCAAGACUGGUUUUCGUUGGGCUUAGCCCCCAAAAUUUGAGAAAGUUAAACAGAAGAUAAUGAAAAAGAUAAGGCUUGCAGUUUUUUAAAAAAUGAUACAUUCUAUACCAAUUUGUACCCCAUGGACCAUAACAGUGAAAAGAGUGUUUUCAGUUAAGUUGAUGGUCUUCCACAUGGUAUUUUGCUUUGAAUAGGUGUGUUACCUGACUGCUUAACUGACGGGGCAGAUGUGGUCAGUGAUCUUGAACAAGAAGAGAUGAAAAUUCUAAGAGAGGUCCUCAGAAAAUCAAAAGAAGAAUAUGACCAGGAGGAGGAAAGGAAACGAAAAAAGCAG
rnacentral:lncRNA from 1 species